AUAAAUUUUUCAAGUAAAGCAUUGAAAUAUCAAAGAAAUGUCACUGUUGCAUCUGGCUGGUUGGGGCCCUGCCCCCAGACACCCUAUUAGGGAUUUUUCAGUGAGAAAGUUUGAAAAGUGCUGCCCUCAUGGGAACCUGUAGGCCCAAGUUCUCAUCUCAGUUUUGCCCUACAUUAGCUGUGUGACUUGGAUGAAUCCUGGUGGGUGCCAUCAAUGUCAUAAACUUCAGUGAUGUCAUAAACACCCUAAGCCAGAAGAGCAGGUCUGUGGGCAGGGGUUACUAUUUACUGCUGAGCUCUCAGUGCCUGAGACACAUACCUUGUACACAGUAGAGGCUCAAUAAAUAGACGUCCAAUACAAAUGAAGCGACAGGCUCAAAGUGUGCUUUGUCGGUAACUGUCCCCAGAGGGACAGUUUUCAGUUCUGUCAGCAUCACAGGACACAAAGGACCACAGAAAAAUGACAGUAAAACAUAAUUAAGAAAGACCAGGACAAUCUUCAUGGUACAGCGGGAGCCCAGAGGGAAUGAUCAUCUCUGCCUACAGGAACUGGUUCCCAGAGCAAACAGGCACCUGAGCAACCCAGACAGCAGUGAGAUGGUGGUGGUGCUGAGCCUUGAACGCUGGCUGCUUCCUAGAAGUCCUGGGCAGUGUCCCUACCCCCACGGAAUCCCCUCACCCAUGAUCAAGAAAGCUGGAUUGUGAAGCUGGUCAUAUGGAAUGUCACCUCAGGAGGUAGGGGAGGUCUGCCCAGCACAGCCCACAGCAGCUCAGGCAAACACAAUGCACCCCACUUGUCUGCAUCCUCAUGGCCCCUAGGAGUGAGCACGAGCUUCUGCAACCUUUGCUGGCAAACAGGGGUUCCGGCCAACACAGCCAUGAUGCCUCAACAACCAGGGAGACCCUGCUUUGUAUCAGCACAGGACUCCUGGGUUUAAUGAUGCUUGGCCCUGGCUUCUUUCAAGACUUCAGUCUUCAUUUGUGCGUCUGCAGGGAGCCGGGAGCAUGGAAGGAACAGCAAGGGUGCCGAGUCAAAUCCCAGCAUCACAACAGAAAACGUCAUCUUCGACCAGUUCAUUCAACUCAGGGGGCUUUGGCAUCUUCACUGGUCUAGCACAGGCAACAUUCCCCCUGGGCUGCUGUGGGGGUACAGGAAAAAACAUGGGGUACCACCCAUGACGUUGGGAGAUGUAUCUGGGGGUGAGAGUCUGGAGAGCUUCAAGCCCUGGGAGAUUUGGGUCUUGAAGGCAUGCUGUGAACCUGGAGCAGCACUAGCUCUGCAUGGCAACAGGACCCUGCCUCUCUCCAUGAACCAGAACCCUGUCCCUGAGAGAGGAGUUCUCACCAGCCAGGGCUGUGGGGGCGGGGGCAGAAAGCAGGAGCAGCCCCUAACAGCUCAGUAGGUGACAGCUUCUGGGAGCCUUUUUCACCAGGAUCUGAGGUCUGUUUACAUGGGUCCCCCCCUGUGGUCUCUGCUGCUUAAUAUGCCUUUUGAAAAUGAUGCUCAGUGGGAUGGUGUGUGCACAUUUGUAAUUCCAAAGAGCUGGCUGGUUUUUCACAAUCUUUGCCUGCUGAUUUCUUAGUCACAGGAAGGGAAAUAGCAAAAAAGUCUCUAAUACUCCUUCCUUGUUGAGUGGGUUCCCUAAUAACAUUACAUGGUGCUUCCUGUUUAUCCCCCUCAAUGAGGAAGGCAGACCUACUGCUAUAAGCUCAGGGGGAACCAACAUCCACCGAGGAGAAAUGACUUGUCCAAGGUGGCACAGUGUUAGUGAGAAAGAAGGGCAGGCAUGACUGCACCCCGUUUCUCCUGCCUGCUAAGUGUGUGCCUCUUCAUCGCAAUCUCUGGCAUAGAAAGAAGGAGAGAUGAAGCAAGAAGUUCCCAGAAAGAAGGCUGUUUCCCCUAAGCGGUGGGCGUCCCGCCACAAGAAAUGGCUCAUCGGGAAACACUGAGUGAAAACCCACAUUCAGAGCAAGGCUUCCCAGUAACUGAGAUCCAGCCUGAGGUUUCCAGGAGCUGAGCCUCAGAUGGAAUGAGGGCGGGCUCAGAGCUCAGCCAACCCUUUGAAACUGAGCCUGCGGGUGAAGUCAGGUCAAUACAUUCACAGGCGUUUCGGGCCCUAUCGACGUCUGGGGUGGGAAACCCACCCGAAAGCUGUUGAAAUACAGGGGCCAGCACUGGUUUUGCAGAACAGUGGUUCUUUGAGUGGAAGGUGUUCGAGAAUUAAGUUUCCCCAGUGUUCCCAGGGCUCAGACUUAAAGCCAAGGGGGGUCUGGGCCCCCAGUGCCUGAUGGAGCCGCUGAUAGGUCCCCGCUGGCUAAAAGUGAUGACAUUGGCAAGAAACUGAUCUUUCUGGGGAGCAGAAACUCAAGAGCACUCAAGUGCAGAACACAAGGCAAGUUGUGUUACCUGCCACAAAGCCCCAGCUUUCAGGACUAGGGGAGGGGGAGAGAGGGACCACUUGGUAUUGGGUAUCAGGAGUCCCAGACCAGACCCUGAAGGAGGAAACUGCUGAAGCGAGACCUCUUAUCUUGUCUUGCCUCCUCCUUCUUCAUAUAAUCAGAACAUGCUCAGGCCAGAGGCAAGAGACCAUAUAAUCCACUACCUCCCUCUGUGUCAUAGACAGGAAAGUUGAGAUCCUGUGGCAUCAGGAGGCUUGUCCUUCGGUAAUAGAGUGUCAGACAUGGAAGUAGGAAGCAGGCCUCCAGAUUCCCUGUUCACUGCUCAUCUGGACUUGGAAAACAAACAGAACUCAAAGCCUCCAGCCCUUUGUCACCAUGCAGCAGGCCACAGCCACAGCACACCUCCAUAUGGCCUCCUUCAUAUAUUUUUUGUGAGCCCACAGAGUGCUGUUCCCUGCUGUAAGCUGAUGCUUGCACACAAAUGUCUGGCCAAAGCAGGUUUUGUUUAAAAGCUAAGUCAGUUUGUGCAAAAGCAUACCCUACCUGCCAUGGCUCCCUUAGCACAUUCCCACCUACUCAAUGCCUGGUUGAAUUGUGAAGACCAAGGACAUCCAAUGUGGGCGUCACCUGUGCACUGCUGAAGAUAACUCUGGUGGCGGGGGGCAGCUGCUGACCCCAGUAUCUCAGGUGAAAAAUGCAGCUGAGAUCCAAUAGGGCUGAGAUAGACACAAAGAGACGCAAUCCUGAAGCAUGGUGGUAUUUUAACAAAUACGCCUUACACUGGAUGGCUCAUAAAUAGCAGAAAUUUGUUUCUCACAGUCCUGGAGCUAGAAAUCUGAGAUCAGCAUGGCGGCAUCAUCAGGUUAUGGUGAGGGCCCUCUUCCUGGUUGCAGACAACUGACUUCUAGUCAUAUCCUCACAUGGGGUCCCUUUAAUAAGGGCACUAAUUCUGUUCGUGGAGGCUCCACCUUCAUGACCAAGUUAUCUCCCAAAGGCCCUGCCUCCUAAUCCCAUCACAUUGAGUGGUAAGGUUUCAACAUAUGAAUUUUGAAAAGACACCAGCAUUUAGUCUAUAACAAGUGGUCCACGGGUAGGCUUGAGUUGGCUAAGGGUGGAGAGGAAGCUGCUAGAAUUGCAGGGAACACUUUACACAUAUUUGUGCAUGGGCAUUCGUCUAGGAAGGAUGCCCUGUCUGUAUCCUCCUUAGGUGUCUCACAGUGACCUGGUCCCAUGUAGCCCCAUCUCAGCUCAAACACCCUCUUCUGACUUCAAAAACUUAAGUGCUAAGAGUUUGUGUCAUGCCUACGUGUCCUUGGCUGCUAAAAAGUGUAUCAUUUUCUAGUGACGUGUUCUUUCCAUAGGAUAUCAUGGUAGUAUUUUAACAAAUACGCCUUACACUGGAUGGCUCAUAAAUAGCAGAAAUUUGUUUCUCACAGUCCUGGAGCUAGAAAUCUGAGAUCAGCAUGGCGGCUGAUCUCAGAUUUUGUGCUAUAGCAAUGGAGAUGCAGGGCUGCAGUGGAACCAUGAGGGCAGGGGUUACAGAAAAGAGGUUUAAAUUAUCUUGGCAUUAAAAAAAAAAAAAAUCCUUUCUUAUUGAAGUGCAACCUGAAAAACAAGCCCCCAUUGGAGAGCACCAUGGCGCUUCCUGUGUAACAUACUCAAACUUCCCUUGGCAACUAGGAGCUGGGGAACCUGAUAAGGUGUAAGCACAGAUAUGCCCGGGAGGUUGUGGGAGUAGCAACUUUUUGUCUUCACUCCAAGACUCAGUCAAGAAAGAAAUUAGAAUUUUAAAAUAAAAUAAUGAUUAGAUUGGAAUCAUUGAAUACCAGAUCUAAGAAAAACUUCAGUUUUCUCCAUGUCAAAUGAGACUUUAGGACUUGCCCACAGAGGUGAUGUGGAAAACCAGUCCUUUUGACUCCAAAUCAAAUGCCUACAAAGCCUCCUUCAGAAUUGGGCCUUGAGAAUUGUAAGUACUCAUAUUCCUGUUGGGAUAAUCACUCUUUGGGAAUGGCCUCAUGGAACCAGUCCCACAAAUGAAAUAUUAAAAUUCCCAUUUAUGUGGCUAGAUUUAGUCAGUACUUCACCAGUUGGAGAGGAGAGGCCCAGAUGCAACCUCUUUGUAUAAAUGUCUUUCCCAGGGACCAGGAUAAAGGUAUUUUUUCCUAAAGCACUUGGUUGCAAAGCACUUUAGAGGCAUAGAGAAUCAGCACUUUGCAGUACCUGAAAGACCACCUGGGCAAGUCUUUCCAUUUUGUUGCAGGGCUUUCUGAGGUCCAGAGAAGAAAAGAGCCUCAAACAGAUCAACUGUAUCCAUCACAUUGUCCCUUUCAGAAGGUUGAAAUAAGGGGGGGAAAGAGAAGUUUCUAGCUAUCGUGGACACUGGGGUUUGAAGUUCACACAGCCUUGGGGAGCUGGGUGGCAGUUAUUUUAUUUUAUCUUUAUUUUUUUUGCUAGGAUGAAUAACCUGAUAAGUAAGUCGGUCCUCAGAGGGUGGGGAGUGGAGCAGGUGAGCAGAUGGCAUUUGUUGCCCAGCCUUUCCUGCGAUGCUUUAUUCAAGGAAACUAAGUUAGUUCAUUGAAAUCUAAAAGAGCCCUGACCAGAACAAGGUGAUUCAGGUAUGCACAGGAGCUGGGGUAUACAACCUCUGAGAACCCUUUAACCAGAGCAGCUCUGAUCUCAGGAGUCUUAGGUUUCAGGUCCCAUUGCAGUUAGUGAGCCCCAAGCUAAGGCACCUUGUGCCGAUUCUGCUGAAGUUAAAGGUGGCCUCUGGGAAAGGGUCUUUUGAGCUCCUCACUGAGCAUAAGCUAGUCCACAGACUAGCAGCACUGGCAUCAGCUGGGAGCUUGCUAGAGAUGUAGGAUCUCAGCCCCACCCAGACUUCCUGAAUCAGAAUCUGCAUUUUUGCAAGCUCUCCAGUAAUUCUUAUGCACAUUAAAUUUAAGAAAUGCUGGUUAGGAAAUAGCAUUUUUUUAGACAAUAAGAAAAAGAUAGAAUGGAGCCAUGAAGAGCUGGUGGUAAUACCACCAGCGGAGGAAACUCUCUGCGUGGCCUUGGGAAAACCACGGCCAUACUCAAAAUGGCUGCUCUCUCAUCUGAAAAUGAGGGGGUUGGACUGGAUGCUUUUUAUUCUCUACCCUGGCAGGCAUUUCUCCUAUGAGCUGAAAGAGGGGAGCCCUGCUCAGCUGAAGAUCAGAGAGCUUCUUGCUGUGUAAAACACUCCCUAAUCAGCCUUGUGUCAAGUCCCCCGCCCCCCGACUAACCACAGUGACAAGUCUCAAGAGUGCACCAUGUCAGGCUGUGAAUAAAGUUCAGGCAGUUUGGUUAAUUACCCUGACACCAACUAGAGUUAGCUACCCAGCAGCUCGGGAACUGGUCUUAAUGAUUAUAGGAACACACACGCCGCAGCUUCCGGCAUAACUGCCCCCUUUGCAGCCUACAGUCUGGUUUUGGAACCGCAAGUUCAAGCAGAACAUUCCCGAGGGCAUCAGGGGUCUAGGUAGGUGUCAGGAGGUCCCCCCUUCCCAUUCCAACAGGGGUGUGAAGUCAUUUUCCCAACAUGACAAGUGAAGCCUGGUAAGCAUAGCAACCAUCUCAGUUUCUCUCAUGCCUCUGCCUGAAACCUGCCUGUGGUGCUCCCCUACUGUCAAGAAAAAGCCAUGCAGGAUAUGCCCCUCCUAAUUCUCCAGCCGAAUCUCCAUUAAUCCCUACCUCAAACCUGCUGACCUGGCCCAGAGGGCUACUCUUGGGUCUCUGCAUGAGCUGUAUGCUUUCUUCUGUUGCACACGUUGCUUCUGCUCAAAGCACCCUUCUCUGCUCUUGACCAUUAUCUUUACUCAUCUUUCAGAUUUUAAUAUCUAUAUCACUGCCCCCAGGAAGUUUUCAUGACCCUCAUAACCAGGUUGGCUGCCUGUCUUUCUACAGAGUCCUGUGUGACUUCAUUCAUACCAGAUAUCACACUGCAAUUUAAGACAGCUUCCUCCAGCAACAGUGAGCUGUGGGCUGGCAGUAUUCAUGCCCAACUUACUUAACAUCUAAGCCUUAUGAGGAUAGAAAUUGUUUUCUGGGUCACUGGCAACUGUAUCCUGAGUGCCCAGUGCAUUGUCUGGGACAUAUAAGAUGCUCAGUAAAUGCCUAAGGAAGGGAGGAAAAAAGAAAGGAAAAAGAAAUGGAUGGAAAGAGGAAGGGAAGAAAGAGAGGAAGGAAGGAAAGGAAAAAGGAAGGAAGGGAAGAAAGGAAGCAAGGAGGAAACAAGAAGGAAGGAAGGAAGGAAG